rnacentral:rRNA from 1 species
CCUACGGGCGGCAGCAGUGGGGAAUAUUGCACAAUGGGGGAAACCCUGAUGCAGCGACGCCGCGUGAGUGAAGACGUAAUUCGUUAUGUAAAGCUCUAUCAGCAGGGAAGAAAAUGACGGUACCUGAGUACGAAGCCCCGGCUCACUACGUGCCAGCAGCCGCGGUAAUAAGUAGGGGGCAAGCGUUAUCCGGAUUUACUGGGUGUAAAGGGAGCGUAGACGGGAGUGCAAGUCUGGAGUGAAAGGCGGGGGCUCAACCCCCGGACUGCUCUGGAAACUGUACGGCUGGAGUGCAGGAGAGGUAAGUGGAAUUCCUGGUGUAGCGGUGAAAUGCGUAGAUAUUAGGAGGAACACCAGUGGCGAAGGCAGCUUACUGGACUGUAACUGACGUUGAGGCUCGAAAGCGUGGGGAGCAAACAGGAUUAGAUACCCUGGUAGUC